ACAUUAACUAGUGAGGUCCCAGUUAAUUAAUUUAUAUGAUUAAAUGAAAAAGUAAACAUAUCAUAGUCCAACAUCACACUUAUAGAAUUAAAGUUGUUGCCUAUUUCAUUUUUUUGUUCUUUCUAUUGCAUUAUAUAUCACUCUCCAUUUUUCCUUUGUUUCUAUAAAGCUUCUAUUAUUUGCUUCGCAAAUUCUUCUUGUUUAUGUGAGUUUUGUUGACCAUAAAGAUUCACAAGAAGUUUUUAUAUACAAGGUAUGUAUUUUUAUAUUUAUUAUUUAUAAAAGUAUCAUCUUCGUAAUAUCGAUCUUUUAAUAUCAUUUAGCACCUAUGAUCAGUGGCGGAUCUACCCUUUCCUUUGCCGAGACGUUCAUUCGAACCCCCUUCGAUGAAAAAUUAUGCUAUAUAUACAUGAUUAAAAUUAUAUUUUAUGUAUAUAUAUAUUAGAUGUUGAACCCCUUCGAUUAGUUCGUUUGUUCACUUAUGAACCUCUUAGUGAAUAUCCUAACUCCGCGAAUGCCUAUGAUCUAAUUAAAAUAUAGAAAUCUAUUACUGAUUCAAUUUGAAUGCUUAUGCAUGAUUGGAGAAGCAAGCAAUUCAUUUUUAUUUAUUUUCUUAUAUAUUAAGGUUCCUGUUUAUCAUUUGAUUUUUUUAUUAAAAAGACUCGAACACUGAAUAAUUAAGAUUAUUGAAGUCUACACAUAAAGUGAAUCUGUAUAAUAUUCUUUGUUUCAAAAUUAAUGAACGUAAAAUUUAAAUAAAUUAAUUAUUGAUUAACAUAUUCAAAAAUGUUUAUGAAUAGUAUUAUUUCAUGAUUUUAUUUUUAUGUAUAUAUAAAAAUAAAUGGUGAUAGCAAUUGACAGUACUGGUUGGUGAUGACAUUUGUGUGGAGGUGGUUGUUGGUGAUCAUCAAUAAUUGUGGUUAUAUAUACACAUAAUAGAAGUUGUAGUUACGUUUUUAUUUGUACAUUAUACUAAAAAGAAAAAUUAAAUAAUAUCAUAACUUAUAUAUAUAUAUAUAUAUAUAUAUAUAUUUUUAUAAAAAAAUAAUCGGAUACAUCCAUAAAUCCAUAAAUUUCGAUACAUAAUUUUAAUUAUGUACUUGAUCUAGUUAAUGCAUUAUAUAUCUCGAUCAAAUAUUUUUAAAAUGGAUGAAUCUCAAUAAUCAAAAUUAUGUAUCUCAACUUCAGAAUUAUGUAUUCGGAUGCUAAUUAUGUAUCUGAGCAAAAAUGGAGUUAUUAACUGUUACAUUCUUAAGUUCAAAAUUAUGUAUCUCAACUUCAAAAUGAUGUAUCCGAAUGCUAAUUGUGUAUCCGAAAAUUGCAAAAUAAGAAAUUAUUUAUAAUUUAGCAAAGAGUAGAGAUAGAGAGUAAUUAGCGGUAAACUUGUUAGGAUUUCUGUAAGUUUUACUAGUAAAAAUAGAUGUCUAAUGAUAUUAGUUCAGUUUGAAAAAUGAAUGGAUAACGUAUCCAAUUCUAUGAAUGGAUAACGUAUCCAAUUCUAUCUAUUUUAUUCUUAGAAUUAAAUAUUAUUCAUUAAUUAAUGAAAAUAUUAAAUUUAUUAUAUUCAAAGAAUAAUAUGAUAAAAUUACCUUUAUAAUUUACUAUUUCUUAACUUGUAUAUCAAGUCAAUAAUGAAUAAUUAGUGAUGGACGAAGUAAAAGUUAUUGAUAAUCUUAAUUAAUGAUGAUAAUAGAUAGUCGAUGUAGUUAGUAGUAAUGUCAACCAAAGGUAAAAGUAAUUGUUAAUUAGUAGAAAACAAAACAAUAUCACAUAAAAUAGAACGAAGAAAAUAUAUAAAUUAAAUAAAUUAAUUGAUUUUUUUUUUUUUUGUCAAUGCAGGAAGCUGAGAUAAAUAUAUAGAAGAUGUAUGUAAUAGUGAUUUCAUUGCCUUUGAUUAUAUUGGUAUUGAUAGUAGCCAUUGUUUGUUACAUGUGUGGAAGAUCAAGGGGUUGCUGCUGAUUAUUCACUUCAAAAUACUUUAUUAUGUCUCUCUUAUUCGGCGAAGCUAAAAAUCUGUAUACAAAUUUAGCUGAAUUUAAUAAUUUUUGUUUAAAUAGUAUAUUGUAUUAAUAACUUUAUUAUAGAUGUAUUAAUUAUAUAAUUCAAUUAUUUAACUUUGAAAUCAUUGUUAUAAAAUUCAGAAUCUAUAAAGUUGAAUUUUAUGUUUCAUUUAUGCUCCUCCAAGUUUUGCUAAAUAUAGGGUAAAAGAGAAAAAGAAAGAGAUCUAUGUACUCAAAGUGUUUGUCUAAGAAUAUUGACAAAGAUCAAAUAAGUAAUUUUUAAAUUAAA
rnacentral:lncRNA from 1 species